CGGUACACGGAACCCGGGCACCCACGCACGGACCACGAUUUCCACCAAGCCACGCGCCCCGCGACAUGGCGGCGGUGCGCCUGCGGCUGCGCGUAUCCCCACGCCUCCGCUCCAUUCCCCUCCUGCUCUCCCAGCCAGACGCCGCCACAGUCCGGCGUAGUUUCGCCAGCGCCUCACCAGGCCCCGCACCGGCGCGGGCCAUGGCGGGCCCGUCCUCCUCCUCAUCCGCGACGCCCUCCCCGUACACGACGCUCGUCGGGCGCGGGAGCUGCGAGCGCGAGAUCAAGCGCAGCAAGUUCAUCGCCAUCGCCGCCCCCGUCCCCAACGAGCUUGCCGCCAUGGCCUUCCUGGACCAGGUCAAGGAUCCACGUGCCACCCACAAUUGCUGGGCAUACAAGCUGGGAGAGCAAUUCCGUUACAACGAUGAUGGUGAACCUUCUAGCACAGCUGGGAAGCCAAUAUACUCUGCCAUCAUUUCCUCUGGCAUUGAUAUGGUCAUGGUGGUUGUGAUUAGAUAUUUUGGAGGCAUAAAACUGGGAACUGGUGGACUGGUGAGAGCUUAUGGUGGGGUUGCUUCUGAAUGUCUUAAAGAUGCUCCUACUUGUCUUGUGAAACCAAAGGCUCGUGUGGGUAUGGAGGUACCAUUUGAUCUUUUGGGCACGGUCUAUCAUCAGCUGCAACAUUUCCAAGCUGAAGAUAUUAAACAGGACUACGACACUGGAAAAGAUGGUACUGUUAUGGUCAUGUUCGAAGUGGAAUAUGAAAAAAUUGAGAAUCUUGGAAAUGCAGUGAAUUCAGCUUGUAGCAGGAAAAUAGAACUAUAUCUAUAAACCGCAAGCACGGGUGAAGGAUGAUUUUCAGUUGGUACAACUUCAAUUGGUCGAGUGUGUGGAGACACUCAAUCAUAUUAAACAGGGACUACAACUCUGGAAAAGAUGGUACUAUGAUGGUCAUGUUCGAAGUGGAAUAUGAAAAAAUUGGGAAUCUUGGAAAUGCAGUGAAUUCAGCUACAUAGCAGGAAGAUAGAACUAUAUCUGUAAACCGCAAGCAUGGGUUAAGGAUGAUUUUUCAGUUGGUACAACUUCAAUUGGUUGAGUGUAAGUGUGGAGACACUCAAUUGUAUGUACUUGCAAGCCUCUAGUUCUUAUUCAUUUGCCUCACUAUUUAUUCUGGAAUUCCCGUUCAAAAAAAAAAACUAUUUAUUCUGGAAUCUCCAUGGCUUUUUUCACCCAGCAUGUAGGCACCAGAAAUAUUCAGCGCCUUCUUCGAGCUAACUGCUAGUGUGUGGCCAUGAUGGAUGAUAUCUUCUCUUUAAUCACAUUUUUCAUGGUAAGCGACAUCAAGAUUUUGAUCUUGAGGGACAUUCUUGUCUUCCAAAUGUUUAUGUAGCUACUAUCAUGCCCUGAACGACACCAGUGUUUAUAUAAACUGUUUUCAUCA